GGCUUCUCCUGCAGCAGGCUCUGGAGGAUUGAGCACAAGAUUUAGGAUUCUGGUGGCUUGUUGGAGUCUUCCUUCUAGAGGCCACAGUCGAUGGGACUUGUUUACUGAAGAUCUCCCCCACUAGACUGUAAGCUCCAUGAGAUCGGGAUGUCAUCUGUCUUAUUCAUAACUAUGUCCCCUUGGCCUAGAACAAUGCCUGGUCUACAAAUAGAGAUUGACUUAAUGGCCUCUGAGGUUACUCUGGGAGCAAGAACUGUCUUCUGUCAUUGGAAGAAGUAGCUACUUACUUGAUUUCAGGGACUGGGGGAGGUGUCCCUGGUCCUUCUCAGAAGCCCCUCUUCUGCUCAAGAGAUGACUAAGAUCCCACAUUUCAGAUUUGUUCCUUGGCUGGAGAUUUGCCUUUGCCUAGUGCAAGGUAUCACCAGGAAGUGUCACCCAUUAAGCCUCUUAGAAUUGCACAGUGCCAGUCUGCAAGGUUGUAUAUGGCAGCUCUGUUAAGCGCUUAUCAGCAUAAGAGAUUUGAGACUUUCUCACAAAUGAGUUUGGAUGGAGGCCCUGGGACCCAGUGAAAAUAGAAUAUAGAUGUGGUAGAGUUAGGAUGACUGUGGUUCCAGAAAGUAAAAAAAGUGGGUUUGAAGACGAUAUUGCCAGUUCAUAGUCUGACAAAGGAAAAUUUAGUAAGUAGAAGUUCCAGUCCUUGUCAUUAAGGAGCUUCCAAACCUGCACACUCCGAAUGGUACAUCUCACACAGCCCAGACAGUUGGUCUCCACAAGACCGAGUUAACAGCCUUCAGGGUGUCUUCAUGGUAGAUUUUCUUCUAUUUGAGAAGGAAAAAGAAAAAGCAUACACGAAGGUGAAGAUUCUGAGGUGAGAUAAACCCACCUCUUCUUUCUCAGCACAGAGGACCCGAAGUGAUCUUGUUGAAUGACUG
ensembl:lncRNA